AGGCACGGACGCCGCGAAGCCCCGCCUCCUACGGCAAGCCGGAGGUAGCAAGAUGGCCGCCGCUGAGGAGGCUUGUGGUGCUGGGGCCGACGCGGACCGGGAAUUGGAAGAGCUUCUGGAAAGUGCUCUUGAUGAUUUCGAUAAGGCCAAACCCUCCCCAGCACCCCCUCCUACCACCACGGCCCCUGAUGCUUCGGGGCCCCAGAAGAGAUCGCCAGGAGACACUGCCAAAGAUGCCCUCUUCGCCUCCCAAGAGAAGUUUUUCCAAGAACUGUUCGACAGCGAGCUGGCUUCCCAAGCCACUGCAGAAUUCGAGAAGGCCAUGAAGGAGUUGGCUGAGGAAGAGCCCCAUCUGGUGGAGCAGUUCCAAAAGCUCUCAGAGGCUGCCGGGAGAGUGGGCAGUGAUGCAACCUCCCAACAAGAAUUUACAUCUUGCCUGAAGGAGACACUAAGUGGACUCGCCAAAAAUGCCACUGAUCUCCAGAACUCAGGCAUGUCAGAGGAGGAACUGACCAAGGCCAUGGAAGGGCUGGGCAUGGAAGAAGGGGAUGGGGAAGGGAACAUCCUCCCCAUCAUGCAGAGUAUCAUGCAGAACCUACUGUCCAAGGACGUGUUGUACCCAUCACUGAAGGAGAUUACGGAAAAGUAUCCAGAAUGGUUGCAGAGUCACCGGGGGUCUCUUCCUCCAGAGCAGUUUGAAAAAUAUCAGGAACAACAUAGUGUCAUGGGCAAGAUAUGUGAGCAGUUUGAGGCCGAGACCCCCACAGACAGCGAGGCCACUCAGAAGGCUCGUUUUGAGAUGGUGCUGGAUCUCAUGCAGCAGCUACAGGAUUUGGGCCAUCCUCCAAAAGAGCUGGCUGGGGAGAUGGUGAGUAUAUCUUCUCUUAGAUUUGAACCUGAGCCCAAGUUUCUGGAAUUCUGUAGUCUCGAAUGAUUCCACUCGAGGUGAUCGCUGUGGCCACUGGGGACGCACCUUCAAAAGCUGUCGCUUGAGGCCCACCAGGUGCCAAUGGCGAACAGUGUCUGAUCAUGUGAAACACAACACGCGUUCGGCCCUGAUUCCCAGCCAUGGGGAACAUCCGGAGUCAGCAGAACCACUGGGAGCCGAGGCAGGAGUGUCGUCUGCAAGAGCAGUCUGCCCACUGCCCUCUGUCAUCCCAGCUUAGAUUGUGCCAUACCAGCUGAGGCUUUUACUCUGUCUUUCUGGUAAUAAGGCCUAUGGUGCGGGCCGUUUCUGUGAACCCUAUCCGUUGUGGUUUCUGCUGCUAGCAAAGGCCCAGCUACCUACCAGGUGACGGAAAGCAUCCCUUUGGGGGCAUGCCCUUCUUCCCCCUCCCAACUAAUGUUAUAUAUGGCCACACCGAUGUUCACUUUUACAUCCAGGGUCUUUGUGCCUUGUCUCUACUCCCUCUCUCGGACUGGGGAGCAGAGACAGAGUCCUGGGGCUCCGUAUUUCUCUAGUUCUUUUGGGAAGAGCCUUUGGAAAUGAAUGGGGAGAAAUUCAGCCUGGGCUUGGGCUCUCGGUCUGUCACCGUGUCCUCUUGCCUUCAGACAGACCGUUGGGAAUUCCGUGGAGGGAAAGGAAGUAGGGGCUUUUGCCUCUGAUCACAGUAGGGUUGAAAGAGAAGCCCUGGGAUUCUCCUCUCGCCAGGUGCUGAGCCUCCAGGUCCCUGGUGUAGUUUGAGAACUCAAGUCACCAGCUUGGGUCUUUGUAUGACGCUGUGUGAUCUGGGUGAACCCAGCCCUUGACCUUCCUGUGCCCCCUGCCUCUCCUCCUCUUCUCUCUUUUUAAAUACCUGUUUAUCCCAGCCCUUCUCUGCACCCAAGCUGUGACAUGGAAGGGCCAUCCACUACUCUGAUUGGCCUCCUCCCUGGAAAACAUACAUAAUUACAGUGUCAGGUCUAGGAAAUGAAAGACCGUUCUUCCCCAGAUGUGUUCUGGCUUAUUUGAGACCUCUGAUUUCUCUGAAUCCUGUCCCUUGAUUAAGCAGGUGACUUGGGAACGGGAGUGGGGUGCAGCUCGGGUCCUUUCUCUUGACUAAUAAAUAUUCUGAUUGAGGA